rnacentral:lncRNA from 1 species
GACCCCAGGUUGAAAGAUCACAGGGUGGCACUUUAUUACCCCGGCCAGGUCAGGUGCCUGUCCCUGACCAAUCACUGAAGGCAGUGAGGGGCCUUUGUGACCUGCCAUCUUGGGUCACAGCUCUACUUCUGGCCAUUUUCUGUAGCUGGCGGCGACAGAGGGAAUGAAAAUAGAGCUCCAUGUCCUCUGACACGAUGCAGUAGGCUGAGAAGUGAUUCCUUGCAGGACAGUUGCAUUUUCAGAUGGGGGAAGAAUGAGGCAGACGAGGAGCUGCUACGAAGCAUUUCAGAGGAGCAAGGUUGAUGACUAUGACUUUGCUGUUUUCCACUGCCUUUGGUGGGUAAUUGGGUCGACUGUCUUCAUCCCUGCUUGGAAUAAACUCAGCUGAGCCUUCAGGAGACCAUGUGGAAAUCCAAGAAAAAUGCUCUGACCUUAAUCAAAUUUCUGGUAUUAUGAAUAGUUAUUAAAUAUUUUAUGUGAGGAUUGUAAUUACUGAUUAAAGCCAGUAUCAAUAGCCUCAGAUAAUCACUGCGUAACACUAGUUAGAAGG